CCAAGGUCUCCAGAGGAAGGCUCGUCCUCUCUGGGAUAGUCGGGACCUAAGGCGAGGCCGAAAGGCGUAGCCGAUGGACGACGGGUGGAUAUUCCCGUACCCGAUGUGUGGCGAUGGAGUGACGGAGAAGGCUCAGGCAACCAGCUGCUGGAAUAGCUGGGGCAAGCGAGAUACCUGCGCACCAGGGAAAUCCGGUGCGCGCAAGGGGAAGGCGCGAAGCAUACGGAAAGCUGCGGCAAGUACGGAAAAGCUGAGAGCAGGCUUCCAGGAAAAGCUUCUAGCGCAACACGCAUCGGUCCGUACCGAAAAUGGACACACAUGGGCAAGGAGAGAAUCCUGAGGUGAGCGAGAGAACUAUAGCUAAGGAACUCUGCAAAAUGACCCGUAACUUAGGGAGAAGGGGUGCUCCAGAAAUGGAGCCGCAGUAAAACGGCCCAAGCGACUGUUUACCAAAAACACAGCUCUCUGCGAAGGCGCAAGCCGAAGUAUAGGGGGUGACGCCUGCCCGGUGCUGGAAGGUCAAGGGGAGCUGUCAGCGCAAGCGAAGCAGCGAGCCGAAGCCCCAGUAAACGGCGGCCGUAACAAUAACGGUCCUAAGGUAGCGAAAUUCCUUGUCGGGCAAGUUCCGACCCGCACGAAAGGCGUAACGAUUUGGGCGCUGUCUCAGCUGUAGACUCGGUGAAGUCUUAGUACCUGUGAAGAUGCAGGUUGCCCGCGACUAGACGGAAAGACCCCAUGGAGCUUCACUGCAGGUUGACAUUGGGCUUGGAUGCAUGAUGUACAGGAUAGGUGGGAGGCUGUGAGCCGUGCGCGCCAGCGUACGGGGAGCCGCUGUUGGGAUACCACCCUUCAUGCAUCUAGGUCCUAACCGGAGGCAACGGGCCACGGGACAGUGUCAGUCGGGCAGUUUGACUGGGGCGGUCGCCUCCCAAAGAGUAACGGAGGCGCCCAAAGAUACCCUCAGCAUGGAUGGAAACCAUGCAUAGAGUGCAAAGGCAUAAGGGUGUCUGACUGCGAGACAUACAGGUCGAGCAGGGACGAAAGUCGGGCUUAGUGAUCCGGCGGAUCCGAAUGGAAGGGCCGUCGCUCAACGGAUAAAAGCUACCCUGGGGAUAACAGGCUGAUCUCCCCCAAGAGUUCACAUCGACGGGGAGGUUUGGCACCUCGAUGUCGGCUCAUCGCAUCCUGGAGCUGAAGUCGGUUCCAAGGGUUGGGCUGUUCGCCCAUUAAAGCGGUACGCGAGCUGGGUUCAGAACGUCGUGAGACAGUUCGGUCCCUAUCUGUCGUGGGCGCAGGAGGUUUGAGGAGAGCUGCCCCUAGUACGAGAGGACCGGGGUGGACGGACCGAUGGUGCACCAGUUGUCACGCCAGUGGCACAGCUGGGCAGCCAAGUCCGGACGGGAUAAGCGCUGAAGGCAUCUAAGCGUGAAGCCCCCUCCAAGAUGAGACCUCCCAUUGGCGACAAGUAAGGCCCCUCGAAGACGACGAGGUUGAUAGGCCGCGAGUGCAAGCGCAGCGAUGUGCUUAGCGGGGCGGUACUAAUAGGCCGAGGACUUGGUC
rnacentral:rRNA from 1 species